AGGAGACUUAACUUUAAUGAGAUAGAUAGCGAACAGUUCAGAAAAUUAUAGGUAUGAUUCUAUGGCCAGAAACCAGAAGGGAAUAUGGUGCAAGAGGAAUGGAGCCCUAAAAAACAGUUCUGUCACACGAUCACAUAUAAUUGUCAUGAGAAAGAAAUAGCUCAGGUACCUAGCAAGGCCUGGGAUUGCAUUGAGUUCUCCAACAGACAAGAGGCACUCGCAGGGUACCUGAACGGCACCAGCUGCUGGGAAUUGGCUGGAAGGCCAACUCCUGAAAAGCUGAGGCUUUCAAAUGAGUACUGGUCAAGAUAAAGAGAAGUUAUGUUUGGAGAUCACAAAUUUAAAAAGGAGUAAUGUAAAGAUGACAGCUGACAAGAAAUGAACAAAACACUGCAUUUGUGAGGGAUUGGUAAAGAAAGACCUCAGAAAUGCUGGGAACCUCAGAAAACACAGCUUUGUCAGCAUCUGUUUUUCUGACCCAGGAUAAGAUCUUCCUUUUAGAUCUGCUGGUCAAGGGACAGAGCUGAACUCUAAGCCAGCCCUGGUCUGUGAGGUUCUUGCCCAUUCAUGCCUAAGACUGAAAAGCUUUACUUUGAAUAUACUAAAUCUUGCUCAAGGUGUAGUCCCCCAUGCUUCUCAAGGCUGUGUGUUCCAUUGGGUAAGGCUGUGGUCUUCAGAGUGGGACAGCAGCAUUAGAACUGCUUGGCCUGCCUGCCUGUUACAAAUGCAGGUGCUGGUACCCCUCCCAUUACCUCCGUUCCCAAGCAAUUUAGAACCUUAAGGAGGACAGCAAGGGAGCUUCAGAAAUCAGCGUUUUCAAUACAUUCCUCAAGUGAUGCUAUCCAAAAUUAGACUUUCAGAACCACUGAGCUAAGUCAGCC
rnacentral:lncRNA from 10 species